UGGGGAAUUUUGGACAAUGGGCGAAAGCCUGAUCCAGCAAUGCCGCGUGUGUGAAGAAGGCCUUCGGGUUGUAAAGCACUUUUGUCCGGAAAGAAAUCCUUGGCUCUAAUACAGUCGGGGGAUGACGGUACCGGAAGAAUAAGCACCGGCUAACUACGUGCCAGCAGCCGCGGUAAUACGUAGGGUGCAAGCGUUAAUCGGAAUUACUGGGCGUAAAGCGUGCGCAGGCGGUUUGCUAAGACCGAUGUGAAAUCCCCGGGCUCAACCUGGGAACUGCAUUGGUGACUGGCAGGCUAGAGUAUGGCAGAGGGGGGUAGAAUUCCACGUGUAGCAGUGAAAUGCGUAGAGAUGUGGAGGAAUACCGAUGGCGAAGGCAGCCCCCUGGGCCAAUACUGACGCUCAUGCACGAAAGCGUGGGGAGCAAACAGGAUUAGAUACCCUGGUAGUCCACGCCCUAAACGAUGUCAACUAGUUGUUGGGGAUUCAUUCCUUAGUAACGUAGCUAACGCGUGAAGUUGACCGCCUGGGGAGUACGGUCGCAAGAUUAAACUCAAGGAA
rnacentral:rRNA from 1 species